CCUACGGGAGGCAGCAGUAGGGAAUAUUGCUCAAUGGGGGAAACCCUGAAGCAGCAACGCCGCGUGGAGGAUGAAGGUUUUCGGAUUGUAAACUCCUUUUGUUAGAGAAGUUAAUGUCGGUAUCUAACGACUAAGCACCGGCUAACUCCGUGCCAGCAGCCGCGGUAAUACGGCGGAUGUGAGCGUUAUCCGGAUUAAUUGGGUUUAAAGGGUGCGCAGGCGGAUGCGGAAGGUCAGCGGUAAAAUUGCGGGCCUAAACCGGGCCGAGCCGUUGAAACUGCUGUUCUAGAGUGGGCGAGAAGUAUGCGGAAUGCGUGGUGUAGCGGUGAAAUGCAUAGAGAUCACGCAGAACUCCGAUUGCGAAGGCAGCAUACCGGCGCAUAACUGACGCUCAUGCACGAAAGCGUGGGUAUCGAACAGGAUUAGAUACCCCUGUAGUC
rnacentral:rRNA from 1 species